rnacentral:rRNA from 1 species
UUGAUCCUGGCUCAGAACGAACGCUGGCGGCGUGCCUAACACAUGCAAGUCGAACGAGAAUGCAGGCUUCGGUCUGCUAGUAAAGUGGCGCACGGGUGAGUAACACGUGGAUAACGUACAUUGUAGUGGGGGAUAACCAGGUGAAAGCUUGGCUAAUACCGCAUGAGUCUGUCGGGACGCAGGUCUUGACAGGGAAAGUGAGCAAUCACGCUACGAGAUCGGUCCGCGGCCCAUUAGCUAGUUGGCGGGGUAAUGGCCCACCAAGGCGACGAUGGGUAGCUGGUCUGAGAGGAUGAUCAGCCACACUGGAACUGAGACACGGUCCAGACUCCUACGGAGGCAGCAGUGGGGAAUUUUGCGCAAUGGCGAAAGCCUGACGCAGCAACGCCGCGUGUGUGACGAAGGCCCUA